UUUUAUGGAGAGUUUGAUCCUGGCUCAGGAUGAACGCUGGCGGCGUGCCUAAUACAUGCAAGUCGAGCGAACGGACGAGAAGCUUGCUUCUCUGAUGUUAGCGGCGGACGGGUGAGUAACACGUGGAUAACCUACCUAUAAGACUGGGAUAACUUCGGGAAACCGGAGCUAAUACCGGAUAAUAUUUUGAACCGCAUGGUUCAAAAGUGAAAGACGGUCUUGCUGUCACUUAUAGAUGGAUCCGCGCUGCAUUAGCUAGUUGGUAAGGUAACGGCUUACCAAGGCAACGAUGCAUAGCCGACCUGAGAGGGUGAUCGGCCACACUGGAACUGAGACACGGUCCAGACUCCUACGGGAGGCAGCAGUAGGGAAUCUUCCGCAAUGGGCGAAAGCCUGACGGAGCAACGCCGCGUGAGUGAUGAAGGUCUUCGGAUCGUAAAACUCUGUUAUUAGGGAAGAACAUAUGUGUAAGUAACUGUGCACAUCUUGACGGUACCUAAUCAGAAAGCCACGGCUAACUACGUGCCAGCAGCCGCGGUAAUACGUAGGUGGCAAGCGUUAUCCGGAAUUAUUGGGCGUAAAGCGCGCGUAGGCGGUUUUUUAAGUCUGAUGUGAAAGCCCACGGCUCAACCGUGGAGGGUCAUUGGAAACUGGAAAACUUGAGUGCAGAAGAGGAAAGUGGAAUUCCAUGUGUAGCGGUGAAAUGCGCAGAGAUAUGGAGGAACACCAGUGGCGAAGGC
rnacentral:rRNA from 1 species